CAAAUGUCUCGUUACAUUUUUUAAAAUAUGCAAAUGUUUGAAUUUGUUCAGAACCAAAUUCUUGACCGAAUAAACAAUGACCGGCAGAAUUGCGAGAAAAUGGAGCGGUCUGGUACCCUUUCAGCUGCUGUUUCUGUGGGAUGGAGAGGUGAUAUAUGAGAAGUUUAUGAGAUACAUGAAUAUACCGAUGUUACUAAACUAGAAAAACACUUGGAGAAUUCCUUAGGUUAACUGUAAGUAGAACCUGACGAGGGUUGAGCGAUCACGUAAAAUGAGAAAAAAUAACUAUUAUGAGAAUGGACAUCAGCUAGCCACCUCCACUGUCCAUAAACAGGCCAAAACUACUUUAAAUGGAAGAUCUGUAUAGAGAUACGGUAAUGUACAUGACGUCUCAUUAAAGGAACUCUUAUAGCUCUAAAAUCAGAGAUCCAUCUUUACCGAAAAUUGAGUAAAGGAAAAUAAUAAUAAUUGGAGGCAAUAAGAACAUAAUUACCAGCAAAAUGUAACAACUUGGAUGAGAAUUAUCAGAACCCAACAUAUCUUGAAAACACAUAUUUACUGCUGUAAAACAUAUUGUAACAAACAUACAAUUCAACCAACGUCAACUGUUAAAACAUACGCAAGGCUGCUCCAGAUAAGAUGGUGAUAAAUAGCUCAGUCAAUCCAAAAUCUAGUUAGUAGAACUCGUUAGUUAGAGCUGGUAGAAAAAAAAAACCAUACGACUGCCAAGGACUGUGAUACCCUGUUUAUAAAUCCCCAACCAAAUGAUACUUCCAGAGACAGGAGUAUUUGGUGUAAAAC